rnacentral:rRNA from 1 species
CUGCAGGUGGUGGCGGCGACUGGUGUUUCCAUCCGAACCACGAACACAUGCAGCAGCGCUGCAGGUGAAGGGACGGCGCCGGCGAAGCCGAAGAAGAUGGUGCCGGCUCUGGUCGUGUUCGGCGACUCGAUCAUGGACCCGGGCAACAACAACGCCAUCCACACCAUCGUCAAGGCCAACUUCCCGCCCUACGGCCACGACUUCGGCCCCGACCACAGCCCCACCGGCCGCUUCUCCAACGGCAAGAUCCCCACCGACUUCAUCGCCUCCAGGCUCGGCCUCAAGGACCUACUGCCGGCGUACCUGGCCCCGGACCUCACCAGCCACGACCUGCUCACCGGCGUCAGCUUCGCCUCGGGCGGCACGGGGUACGACCCGCUCACGGCGCAGCUCGCCUCGGCCAUCUCCAUGACGGACCAGCUCCGCAUGUUCGACGACUACAAGCAGAAGGUCCGGGCCGCCGCCGGCGACGCCGCGCUCUCGGACAUCCUGACCAAGGGCAUCUUCGUUGUGUGCACCGGCAGCAACGACGUGACCAACACCUACUUCACCAUGCGCGCGCGCAGCUCCUACUCCCACGCCUCCUACGCGUCCUUCGUCGUCGCCCACGCCGCCGCCUUCCUCGACGGCCUACUCUCCGCGGGCGCCCGCCAUGUCGCCGUCAUCGGCCUCCCGCCCGUCGGCUGCAUGCCCUCUCAGCGCACGCUCUCCGGCGGCAUGGCCCGGGACUGCUCCCCCGGCCCCAACGAGAUCGCGGAGAUGGUGAACGCCGGCAUGGGCUCCGCCGUGGAGUUCCUCAAAGCGAACAACCCGGGGGCCAAGGUGGUGCUGGUGGACAUGUACGGGUUCUUUAUGGACAUGAUGGUGCGCCCCCAGGGGUACGACUUCAGGGAAUCCACGCUCGGCUGCUGCGGCAUGGGCAUGAUGGAGGUCUCCGUGCUCUGCAACGGCGUCACGUCGGCGGUGUGCGGGGACGUCGCCGACUACCUGUUCUGGGACAGCUACCACCCCACUGAGAAGGCCUACGGGAUCCUCGUCGACUUCGUCUACGAUAAGUACCUCCAGAAGCUCAUCGAGUAG